rnacentral:rRNA from 1 species
AUUGAACGCUGGCGGCAGGCCUAACACAUGCAAGUCGAGCGGAGCGGCGGACGGGUGAGUAAUGCCUAGGAAUCUGCCUGGUAGUGGGGGAUAACGUCCGGAAACGGGCGCUAAUACCGCAUACUAUCAGAUGAGCCUAGGUCGGGUUAGCUAGUUGGUGGGGUAAAGGCUUACCAAGGCGACGAUCCGUAACUGGUCUGAGAGGGUGAUCAGUCACACGGGAACGGAGACACGGUCCAGGCUCCAACGGGAGGCGGCAGUGGGGAAUAUUGGACAAUGGGCAAAAGCCUGAUCCAGCCAGGCCGCGUGUGUGAAGAAGGUCUUCGGAUUGUAAAGCACUUUAAGUUGGGAGGCGGUACCAACAGAAGAAGCACCGGCUAACUUCAUGCCAGCAGCCGCGGUAAUUC